AGAGUUUGAUCCUGGCUCAGGACGAACGCUGGCGGCGUGCCUAAUACAUGCAAGUCGAGCGGACAGAUGGGAGCUUGCUCCCUGAUGUUAGCGGCGGACGGGUGAGUAACACGUGGGUAACCUGCCUGUAAGACUGGGAUAACUCCGGGAAACCGGGGCUAAUACCGGAUGCUUGUUUGAACCGCAUGGUUCAAACAUAAAAGGUGGCUUCGGCUACCACUUACAGAUGGACCCGCGGCGCAUUAGCUAGUUGGUGAGGUAACGGCUCACCAAGGCAACGAUGCGUAGCCGACCUGAGAGGGUGAUCGGCCACACUGGGACUGAGACACGGCCCAGACUCCUACGGGAGGCAGCAGUAGGGAAUCUUCCGCAAUGGACGAAAGUCUGACGGAGCAACGCCGCGUGAGUGAUGAAGGUUUUCGGAUCGUAAAGCUCUGUUGUUAGGGAAGAACAAGUACCGUUCAAAUAGGGCGGUACCUUGACGGUACCUAACCAGAAAGCCACGGCUAACUACGUGCCAGCAGCCGCGGUAAUACGUAGGUGGCAAGCGUUGUCCGGAAUUAUUGGGCGUAAAGGGCUCGCAGGCGGUUCCUUAAGUCUGAUGUGAAAGCCCCCGGCUCAACCGGGGAGGGUCAUUGGAAACUGGGGAACUUGAGUGCAGAAGAGGAGAGUGGAAUUCCACGUGUAGCGGUGAAAUGCGUAGAGAUGUGGAGGAACACCAGUGGCGAAGGCGACUCUCUGGUCUGUAACUGACGCUGAGGAGCGAAAGCGUGGGGAGCGAACAGGAUUAGAUACCCCCGUAGUCC
rnacentral:rRNA from 1 species